rnacentral:rRNA from 1 species
UAGCAAAUCAUAAGCGGAGGAAAAGAAACCACCCGGGAUUGCCCUAGUAACGGCGAGUGAAGCGGCAACAGCUCAAAUUUGAAAUCUGGCGUCUUCGGCGUCCGAGUUGUAAUUUGCAGAGGGCGCUUUGGCAUUGGCAGCGGUCCAAGUUCCUUGGAACAGGACGUCACAGAGGGUGAGAAUCCCGUACGUGGUCGCUAGCCUUUACCGUGUAAAGCCCCUUCGACGAGUCGAGUUGUUUGGGAAUGCAGCUCUAAAUGGGAGGUAAAUUUCUUCUAAAGCUAAAUACUGGCCAGAGACCGAUAGCGCACAAGUAGAGUGAUCGAAAGAUGAAAAGCACUUUGGAAAGAGAGUUAAAAAGCACGUGAAAUUGUUGAAAGGGAAGCGCUUGCAGCCAGACUUGCCUGUAGUUGCUCAUCCGGGUUUCUACCCGGUGCACUCUUCUAUAGGCAGGCCAGCAUCAGUUUGGGCGGUUGGAUAAAGGUCUCUGUCAUGUACCUCUCUUCGGGGAGAACUUAUAGGGGAGACGACAUGCAACCAGCCUGGACUGAGGUCCGCGCAUCUGCUAGGAUGCUGGCGUAAUGGCUGUAAGCGGCCCGUCUUGAAACACGGACCAAGGAGUCUAACAUCUAUGCGAGUGUUUGGGUGUCAAGCCCGAGCGCGUAAUGAAAGUGAACGGAGGUGGGAACCUUUCGGGGUGCACCAUCGACCGAUCCUGAUGUCUUCGGAUGGAUUUGAGUAAGAGCAUAGCUGUUGGGACCCGAAAGAUGGUGAACUAUGCUUGAAUAGGGUGAAGCCAGAGGAAACUCUGGUGGAGGCUCGCAGCGGUUCUGACGUGCAAAUCGAUCGUCAAAUUUGGGCAUAGGGGCGAAAGACUAAUCGAACUAUCUAGUAGCUGGUUCCUGCCG